UACGAAGGGGGCUAGCGUUGUUCGGAUUUACUGGGCGUAAAGCGCGUGUAGGCGGGUCGUUAAGUUGGGGGUGAAAUCCCCGAGCUCAACCCCGGAACUGCCUUCAAAACUGGCGGCCUGGACUCAAGCAGAGGCAAGUGGAAUUGCGAGUGUAGAGGUGAAAUUCGUAGAUAUUCGCAGGAACACCAGUGGCGAAGGCGGCUUGCUGGGCUUGUAGUGACGCUGAGACGCGAAAGCGUGGGGAGCAAACAGG
rnacentral:rRNA from 1 species